UAGGGAAUCUUCCGCAAUGGGCGAAAGCCUGACGGAGCAACGCCGCGUGAGUGAUGAAGGUCUUCGGAUCGUAAAACUCUGUUAUUAGGGAAGAACAUAUGUGUAAGUAACUGUGCACAUCUUGACGGUACCUAAUCAGAAAGCCACGGCUAACUACGUGCCAGCAGCCGCGGUAAUACGUAGGUGGCAAGCGUUAUCCGGAAUUAUUGGGCGUAAAGCGCGCGUAGGCGGUUUUUUAAGUCUGAUGUGAAAGCCCACGGCUCAACCGUGGAGGGUCAUUGGAAACUGGAAAACUUGAGUGCAGAAGAGGAAAGUGGAAUUCCAUGUGUAGCGGUGAAAUGCGCAGAGAUAUGGAGGAACACCAGUGGCGAAGGCGACUUUCUGGUCUGUAACUGACGCUGAUGUGCGAAAGCGUGGGGAUCAAACAGGAUUAGAUACCCUGGUAGUCCACGCCGUAAACGAUGAGUGCUAAGUGUUAGGGGGUUUCCGCCCCUUAGUGCUACAGCUAACGCAUUAAGCACUCCGCCUGGGGAGUACGACCGCAAGGUUG
rnacentral:rRNA from 1 species